rnacentral:ncRNA from 1 species
AUUUAGAGGAAGUAAAAGUCGUAACAAGGUCUCCGUAGGUGAACCUGCGGAGGGAUCAUUA